CGCUCAGCCCACAUUGCACAGUCGAUAAAUAGACGUCUCCCGAUAGCAGGAGGGGCUGGUCGACCAGAUCCGCCGCUUCGUUCCACACGCCAAAGCUUCCGGGAGAGGAAGAGAUCCCAGCCGAGGCGGACGGCCAUGGUCGGCGACUUCUGAAGAAGCGCGCAGCCGCAGCCGGCCCGUCUUUCUUCACCGCCGCCCGUAGAAGUUCUCAACCCUAGCAGUAAUCAAUUCAGAGCAUUCUGUAGCUGAUUACAAAGUCCUUGGCAAUGAAGCAUGAAGCUUGGGACAAAGCCUGGCACAUUCUACAUUGAGCAGGUCGUCGGGUAUUCUUUGUUUUUUCAUCUUUGCACUCAGUACCUGUAUCUACUGUCUGUGUGGAUCUCUUUUGGUUUCAUGUUCGUGUAUCCUGUUCAUGUGGAUUCCUUGUUCUGAUUACAAUGCCCGCCGAGCAGUAUUUUGUGGUGGGAAAACGUUUACCGUCUGUGAUGUAGCGAAUUUGGUUCCACAAUACCAGGUAUUAUCAAUGUAGCACACAUCUUAAUUUCACUUUUA